GAAAGAAUUUCGGUCAAGGAUGGACUCGCGGCCUAUCAGCUAGUUGGUGAGGUAAUGGCUCACCAAGGCGACGACGGGUAGCCGGCCUGAGAGGGUGACCGGCCACACUGGGACUGAGACACGGCCCAGACUCCUACGGGAGGCAGCAGUGGGGAAUAUUGCACAAUGGGCGAAAGCCUGAUGCAGCAACGCCGCGUGAGGGAUGACGGCCUUCGGGUUGUAAACCUCUUUUAGUAGGGAAGAAGCGAAAGUGACGGUACCUGCAGAAAAAGCACCGGCUAACUACGUGCCAGCAGCCGCGGUAAUACGUAGGGUGCAAGCGUUGUCCGGAAUUAUUGGGCGUAAAGAGCUCGUAGGCGGUUUGUCGCGUCUGCUGUGAAAUCUGGGGGCUCAACCCCCAGCCUGCAGUGGGUACGGGCAGACUAGAGUGCGGUAGGGGAGAUUGGAAUUCCUGGUGUAGCGGUGGAAUGCGCAGAUAUCAGGAGGAACACCGAUGGCGAAGGCAGAUCUCUGGGCCGUAACUGACGCUGAGGAGCGAAAGCGUGGGGAGCGAACAGGAUUAGAUACCCUGGUAGUCCACGCCGUAAACGUUGGGAACUAGAUGUGGGGACCAUUCCACGGUCUCCGUGUCGCAGCUAACGCAUUAAGUUCCCCGCCUGGGGAGUACGGCCGCAAGGCUAAAACUCAAAGGAAAUUGACGGGGCCCGCACAAGCGGCGGAGCAUGCGGAUUAAUUCGAUGCAACGCGAAGAAACUUACCAAGGCUUGACAUAUACCGGAAAACGGCAGAGAUGGUCGCCCCGCA
rnacentral:rRNA from 1 species